rnacentral:rRNA from 1 species
UACGGAGGGGGCGAGCGUUGUUCGGAAUCACUGGGCGUAAAGAGUGCGUAGGCGGUUAUACAAGUCAGAAGUGAAAUCCCAGGGCUUAACCUUGGAAUUGCUUUUGAGACUGUAUGACUAGAGAUCUAGAGAGGUUGGGGGAAUUCCGAGUGUAGAGGUGAAAUUCGCAGAUAUUCGGAGGAACACCAGUGGCGUAGGCGCCCAACUGGCUAGAUACUGACGCUGAGGCACGAAAGCGUGGGGAGCAAACAGG